AGAGUUUGAUCCUGGCUCAGGAUGAACGCUAGCGAUAGGCUUAACACAUGCAAGUCGAGGGGCAGCAAUUUGUAGCAAUACGAAGUUGGCGACCGGCGCACGGGUGAGUAACGCGUAUGCAACCUACCCGCAACAGAAGGAUAAUCCGGCGAAAGUCGGUCUAAUACUUCAUAAUACAGGGACACCGCAUGGUGAUAUUUGUUAAAGAUUAAUUGGUUGCGGAUGGGCAUGCGUGCCAUUAGGUAGUUGGUGAGGUAACGGCCCACCAAGCCGACGAUGGUUAGGGGUUCUGAGAGGAAAAUCCCCCACACUGGUACUGAGACACGGACCAGACUCCUACGGGAGGCAGCAGUGAGGAAUAUUGGUCAAUGGGCGAGAGCCUGAACCAGCCAAGUCGCGUGAAGGAUGACUGUCUUAUGGAUUGUAAACUUCUUUUGUAGGGGAAUAAAGAAUGGUACGUGUACCAUAGUGAAUGUACCCUACGAAUAAGCAUCGGCUAACUCCGUGCCAGCAGCCGCGGUAAUACGGAGGAUGCGAGCGUUAUCCGGAUUUAUUGGGUUUAAAGGGUGCGUAGGUGGGCUAUUAAGUCAGUGGUGAAAGUUUGUCGCUCAACGAUAAAAUUGCCGUUGAAACUGGUGGUCUUGAGUAUGGAUGAAGUAGGCGGAAUGCGUGGUGUAGCGGUGAAAUGCAUAGAGAUCACGCAGAACUCCGAUUGCGAAGGCAGCUUACUAAGGCAUAACUGACACUGAAGCACGAAAGCGUGGGUAUCAAACAGGAUUAGAUACCCUGGUAGUCCACGCAGUAAACGAUGAUAACUGGGCGUAUGCGAUAUACAGUAUGCUCCUAAGCGAAAGCGUUAAGUUAUCCACCUGGGGAGUACGCCGGCAACGGUGAAACUCAAAGGAAUUGACGGGGGCCCGCACAAGCGGAGGAACAUGUG
rnacentral:rRNA from 1 species